rnacentral:tRNA from 1 species
GGGGGUGUAGCUCACAUGGUAGAGCGUUCCCUUAGCAUGUAGAAAUCACACCUUGAAGUGUCUCCAAGCUAAAAUGGGAAAGGUACGGGGAUCGAUACCCUGCACCUCCA